AAUAUUUAAAUCUUUUUUUUCAGCAACAUAGAACUUGUAGGAAAUCUGUACCAUUUUCAUUUCUCCUUCUGUUCCUCAUUGUCUUUCUUUCACAAACAGUUCAGCUUUCACAUGUUAUUGUGGGAGGCUGUUGAAGAAUUAGGCGCUUCAUCUCAUUCCCAAGGACAGCAUGUUCUCUUCAGAAGCGAGUUUCACAAUUGCAAGUCAACUGAUAAGCUCCAGUACUUCAGGUAGCUUCCAUUGUUCCAAAACCACAGAAAACUUACUGGUCAGUAACAGUGAUUGCUUCAGAUGGGAAGGUUUUCAAGAUGAACUGGAGCCUUAACUUGUACUUGUUAGUGGUACAAUCUUGAACAGAAAUAGUAUCAAAAAAUAUGGUCUCUCUUCCAGAUUUGUAAAAUAGCAAUUUUUUCCAGUCCAAAUAGUGCCUUUUUGGGGGUUUUGUGUUGUCCUGGGUUGCAGAGCAAGAGCACGGAUUUGCUGAAAGGGAACAUGACAUCACUGCACUGCCAACAGGCAGGCUGAAUGGUUGGGCUAACUUACACAGAUAAAGAAUCUCUAAAUUUCAGAGCUAUUCAAAAGGCAGCUUCAAGAAUGCAGGAGAUGUGAUAGUAGGGCUUUUAGUCCUGAAGUGAAAACUAAUGUGCAUGAAAAUGAAUAGCCUUCCCUUCUCUCCCUAAAAGUGGAUAUUUUUCAGCCAGCUCAAUCGGUUCCCUGUACAGCAUCACAAACAGGCUGACACAACCAAGGAAUUAUGUUGGAACACAAACACCCAGUAGCACCCAGUAAAGCUGUUUUUUCAUUGGCAAGCCCAGCUCCAAAUUUCCAUCUAAAACCAGCCUUUGUACUGCCAGGCUUUAGAAUCAACUUCAUUUUCUCUAUCCUUCAGUGAGUAACACCGCUCUUGAGAAACUUCAGAGCACACCCUGGUUAAUUUGAAAGAAUAUGACUACCGUGUGUUUGAAUUUGUACAGAAUUUGUGAAUCAACAUCUGUACUACUGCGGGAUCCAGAGAGGAUGGCAGAGAUCUGGUAUCACCAACUGCACAAUAAUCAUCUCAGUUAUACUUGGAACCUAAGCUUUUGGAUCAAUCACCACUCAGAGAAAGAAGAGAGAAUAACAUCAUGAUUCCCCUCUGCCCUUCAGCUGAUCCUCAGCAGAACAGUCUGCAAUCAGACCCGAACUGUGAUUCUUAACAUCUUUAACCAUCAGUGUGACAGAGAAUCCAGUUCAGCUUCAGUUAAAUCUCUGACAACCUUCCCUGGCCUCUGAUACAUGGUGCCCAUGCACACGUGCAUAAUAAAAUUAAUAAAAUUAAAAAUUUGGUGUUUGCUACGUCCUUUGUCAGAAAUCUGUCACAUCUCCACGUUGACAGGGCCUGCCAAUGCACUGCGGUACACACAUGGGGUUUGCCCAAGUGCUGUACUAGAGUUCUAACAUGAUUUUCUCUCAUCUCAGAGCUACAUUUAAACACUGAGAAAGCUUAUUAGCUGUACACCAUGAUAAUUCUUAGAUGCCAUCAUCUUCCGAGUUACAAAAACGCGUUAAAUCCUACCGAAUGACAACUUACACAUAUAAACCCAUCUUCAUAAAAUAUAACAUACGCAUACAUACGCUUUCUGUAAAAAAUAAGCUCUUUUUCUAAAAGCAGAACACAGCAAAACCACCACAAAACCCCUCGGCUGGCCCGAAACGUGGCCGCGCCUCAUGCAGUAACUAAAGGUGUUGCCAACGAGCCAUAAGCCUCCGCCGCAUGAGCGCAGGAACCGCGGUGGUGGCAGAGCGUGCCGGCAGGCUGGCAAUCCCCAUGCGGCGGGGGAGCGGCGCACCUGCUCCGUGUGCCUUAUGUGGAUUGGGGUACCCGGGUGUGCUCGGCCGCUAACAGCGGGCUGUACCUGGCCGCACGGCGGGCAGGGCGGAGAGCCGAGCGGCUCCAGGGGCCUGUGAAGAGCCGGGGCUGGAUGAGGAGCCCGGGACUGCCCCGUGCGGGGACCCGUCAGUGUUCCUAAGUUAUUCCCAGAGCCGCCUCCCCCGUUAGACACCCGUUCCCUGGGAACGCGGCGGGCGGAGGCGCGAGGGGCCGCUCCCCCGGGACAGGCCCGGAGCCGCCGCGGAGUUUCGCGGGAGGACGCCACUGCGCCGGGGCUGGCAGCUGCGGCCCCGCCCGCGGUUCCCUCAGCCCCGAGGCUCGCCCCGCCGCUAACAAAGCGAACCCCGCCCGCCCCAGCGCGGCGGCCGACACCAUCUGUCCCUCCCC
rnacentral:lncRNA from 1 species